UGUGCCUCUGGAGGUGUUGCAGGUGUGGCUGCAGUGUCACGUGUGCAUCAGUGGGGACAGAGAGGAGUGAGGCUAUGUCUGUGAUCAGUGUUCUGACCUGUAGACAUCUGAAUUAUCAGUAAUCUAACAUU